UAAAAAACACAUUCCCCUCGUCUCUCUCUCUCUCUCUCUCAACCCAAGUCUCUCUCAGCCUGGUCCAUCUCGUUGGAGAUGACGACGAAGCUGUUGCCGAGCCCUAGCUCUAGCCUCUCUCAUAAAUCGAUUUCGAUGAACAUGAAUAUGAAUUUAAGUUUCGAUUUCAAUUCAGGUGACUUGGAGAGAGCAGCGGUAGAGAUUUGUAGACUCAAAUUUGGAUUUCAAUUCAUUUGUAGACUCAGGUUUGGAUUUCAAAUCGAUUUCAAUUUAGAUUUGGUAUGCAUUCUCUCUAUCUCUCUCGCUCUGUCUUCUUCUCUUUACUGAUAUUUUGAUUGGAGAUUUGGAUUUGUGAAGCCAACAAAUGCUCGAGGCCAUGGAGAAGCUCAAGCUCAUGAGCUAGGAAUUUGAUGAACUUUGUCGUCGUCCUCUUCCUCAAAUUUUGAUUGGUUAUAUAGCGUUCAGGCGGUGCUCAAGCGCCAUCGCCCUCUAGGCAACAUCUUUUGUAAUGUCCACAAGUGACUGUUAAACAAGCAUUUUGCAAAGCUUAUUUAGUUG